rnacentral:rRNA from 1 species
UACAGAGGUCCCGAGCGUUGUUCGGAUUCACUGGGCGUAAAGGGUGCGUAGGUGGCGAGGUAAGUCGGAUGUGAAAGCUCGGAGCUCAACUCCGAAAUGGCAUUGGAAACUACCUUGCUCGAGGGUUGGAGGGGGGGGACUGGAAUACUUGGUGUAGCAGUGAAAUGCGUAGAUAUCAAGUGGAACACCAGUGGCGAAGGCGAGUCCCUGGACAACUCCUGACACUGAGGCACGAAAGCUAGGGGAGCAAACAGG